rnacentral:rRNA from 1 species
UGGUGAUGAUAGCGGAGGGGAACCACCCGUUCCCAUACCGAACACGGAAGUUAAGCCCUCCAGCGCCGAUGGUACUGAGGGGGAGACCCCUUGGGAGAGUAGGACGUUGCCA